rnacentral:rRNA from 1 species
GUCUCCUGAAGGAACGUUGAAGACGACGACGUUGAUAGGCCGGGUGUGUAAGCGCAGCGAUGCGUUGAGCUAACCAGUACUAAUGAACCGUGAGGCUUAACCUUACAACGCCGAAG